UAGGGAAUCUUCCGCAAUGGGCGAAAGCCUGACGGAGCAACGCCGCGUGAGUGAUGAAGGUCUUCGGAUCGUAAAACUCUGUUAUUAGGGAAGAACAAAUGUGUAAGUAACUAUGCACGUCUUGACGGUACCUAAUCAGAAAGCCACGGCUAACUACGUGCCAGCAGCCGCGGUAAUACGUAGGUGGCAAGCGUUAUCCGGAAUUAUUGGGCGUAAAGCGCGCGUAGGCGGUUUUUUAAGUCUGAUGUGAAAGCCCACGGCUCAACCGUGGAGGGUAAUUGGAAACUGGAAAACGUGAGUGCAGAAGAGGAAAGUGGAAUUCCAUGUGUAGCGGUGAAAUGCGCAGAGAUAUGGAGGAACACCAGUGGCGAAGGCGACUUUCUGGUCUGUAACUGACGCUGAUGUGCGAAAGCGUGGGGAUCAAACAGG
rnacentral:rRNA from 1 species